AUGGCGUCGUCGGAUUCUCCGCCGCCGGGGAAGCCCCCUCUGCCGUGGCGGGUGCGCCUGCUCGUGGGCGCAGCCUCAUUCCUACACUCCGCGUCCCUCCGCGCCGACGGCACCGUCAACCGCUCCCUCCUCUCCCUGUUCGAACGCACCGUCCCUCCUAGCUCCGCGCCCGAUGCCGCCGGCGUUUCGUCCACCGACCACGCCGUCCUCAGCCACCUCCGCGUCCGCCUGUUCGUUCCAGCGCCCGCCGCUAGCGGCAGCCAGAGCCAGCUGCCAGUGGUUGUAUAUUUCCACGGCGGCGGCUUCGUGUUCCACUCCGUGGCGACGGCCCAGUUCGACGCUCUGUGCCGCCGCCUCGCCGCGUCUAUCCCGGCCGUCGUCGCCUCCGUGGACUACCGCCUCGCGCCCGAGCACCGCGCCCCUUCCGCUUACGACGACGGGGAGGCGGCGCUCCGCUGGGCACUCGCCGGCGCCGGGGGCGCCUUGCCGUCUCCCCCCACCGCCGUCUUUGUCGCCGGGGAUAGCGCGGGCGGCAACGUCGCCCACCACGUCGCCGCGCGCCUGCAGGGCAGCGUGGCCGGGCUGGUCCUGCUGCAGCCGUUCUUCGGCGGCGAGGCGGCGACCGCGUCCGAGCAGCGGCUCCGCCACGCGCCGUUCGGGGCGCCGGAGCGGCUGGCGUGGCUGUGGCGCGCGUUCCUGCCGCCGGGCGCCACGCGGGACCACGAGUCGGCCAACGUGCCGGCCGCGAUCCAGCGCGACGGUGCCGCCGCGGGGAGGUGGCGCGCGUUCCCGCCGACGCUGGUGUGCGUGGGCGGGUGGGACGUGCACCAGGACAGGCAAAGGGCGUACGCGCACGCGCUGCGAGCCGCCGGCGCCGAGGAGGUCCGUGUCGCGGAGUUCCCCGACGCCAUCCACGCGUUCUACGUGUUCGACGGCUUCCCGGACAGCCAGAGGCUGCUGGCCGACGUGGCCGAGUUCGUGAACCGGCGGGCUGCCGAACACCUCGACGCGCCAGUGAACGACCAGUGUCCACUGUCCACUGGUUCGUAG
rnacentral:rRNA from 1 species